GAGGGGCAGCGGGGAGCAAGCUUGCUUGCUCUGCCGGCGACCGGCGCACGGGUGAGUAACACGUAUGCAACCUGCCCUCCGCAGGGGGAUAACCCGGAGAAAUCCGGACUAAUACCGCGUGGUACAUCUGUGGGGCAUCCCACGGGUGUUAAAAGGAAGCGAUUCCGGCGGAGGAUGGGCAUGCGGCGCAUUAGCUUGUUGGCGGGGUAACGGCCCACCAAGGCGACGAUGCGUAGGGGUUCUGAGAGGAAGGUCCCCCACACUGGUACUGAGACACGGACCAGACUCCUACGGGAGGCAGCAGUGAGGAAUAUUGGUCAAUGGGCGGGAGCCUGAACCAGCCAAGUCGCGUGAGGGAAGACGGUCCUAUGGAUUGUAAACCUCUUUAGGCGGGGAGCAAUGCCGGGCACGCGUGCCCGGAGGGAGAGUACCCGCAGAAUAAGCAUCGGCUAACUCCGUGCCAGCAGCCGCGGUAAUACGGAGGAUGCGAGCGUUAUCCGGAUUUAUUGGGUUUAAAGGGUGCGUAGGCGGAUUUUUAAGUCAGCGGUAAAAUGUCCGGGCUCAACCCGGGCCGGCCGUUGAAACUGGGGAUCUUGAGUGGGCGAGAAGUAUGCGGAAUGCGUGGUGUAGCGGUGAAAUGCAUAGAUAUCACGCAGAACUCCGAUUGCGAAGGCAGCAUACCGGCGCCCGACUGACGCUGAGGCACGAAAGCGUGGGGAUCGAACAGGAUUAGAUACCCUGGUAGUCCACGCAGUAAACGAUGAAUGCUAGUUGUCCGGUUCUUUGGGACUGGGU
rnacentral:rRNA from 1 species